UACAUGGGGUGCAAACGUUGCUCGGAAUUAUUGGGCGUAAAGCGCGCGUAGGCGGUUGGUUAUGUCGGAUGUGAAAGCCCUCGGCUCAACUGAGGAAGUGCAUCCGAAACUGGGCAGCUAGAGUACUAAAGAGGGUCGCGGAAUUCCCGGUGUAGAGGUGAAAUGCGCAGAUAUCGGGAGGAACACCGGUGGCGAAGGCGGUUCUCUGGGCCUUACCUGACGCUGAGGAGCGAAAGCGUGGGGAGCAAACAGG
rnacentral:rRNA from 1 species